rnacentral:rRNA from 1 species
AGUCGACGGAGAAUGUAGCAUACAUUCUUAGCGGCGAACGGGUGAGUAACGCGUUGGUGACCUGCCUCGAAGAGAGGGAUAACAGUCCGAAAGGAUUGCUAAUACCUCAUAUGGUUAUAGGGUUUAGAAGCCUAUAACUAAAGGAGUAAUUCACUUCGAGAGGGACCUGCGUACCAUCAGCUAGUUGGUGAGGUAACGGCCCACCAAGGCGAUGACGGUUAGGGGACCUGAGAGGGUGGCCCCCCACAAUGGAACUGAAACACGGUCCAUACACCUACGGGUGGCAGCAGUAGGGAAUAUUAGUUAAUGUGCGAAAGCGCGAACUAGCAACGCCGCGUGUGCGAUGAAGGCCUUCGGGUCGUAAAGCACUUUUCUAAGGGAUGAGGAAGGACAGUACCUUAGGAAUAAGCAUCGGCUAACUACGUGCCAGCAGCCGCGGUAAAACGUAGGAUGCAAGCGUUAUCCGGAUUUACUGGGCGUAAAGCGCGUGUAGGCGGUUUGGUAAGUUGGAUGUGAAAGCUCCUGGCUUAACUGGGAGAGGUCGUUCAAUAUUGCCAAGCUUGAGGAUGGUAGAGGGAGGUGGAAUUCCGAGUGUAGUGGU